AGGCCAUGGUGGAGAUAUCUUAUUUGAAGAUCUUUAAAUCUCUCCUAAACUUCAUAUAAUGACUCACCUUCAUGUUGAGUAAAACCUGUGAUAUUCAUGCGAAAUUU